UGCAUUUUUUAGAUUGUCAUAAGAAACAUGGAAUACUGGUGAUGAUAUGAGGUUGAAACGGCUCUGUGCCAUACACAGAGUGUAGGUGUUUUAACCUACUGAACUUGUCAAAAUAAAGAACUCACGACAAACAAAUAAUGUCCAAGUGGUUAUUUGAUAUCCCCGGUUACAUGUGGAGCCCCCAGUGAGGAAUAUUCAUCGACAGUACAAGCGUCACCGACUGUGUUUCCGACAGUGUGUUUCACGUGUGUAUAUUCAAGCGUCCAUAGGACGGAGACUCAAUUUUAUGUCAUUCUUGCUGAGAUGUGCUGCCCUGCUUGAUCCAAUCACUUUAGUGAUUCAGACUUUCCAAUAUGGCGGCAUAUUGUGUGUUGUGAAAUUCUAUGAUAGUUAUUUUGGUGGAAAUUUUGGUGUUCCCAGCUGAAGAACAAGAUUUUGAUUCUGUAACCUUUGAAGAACUUUCAAUUUCCAUGAGAUAUUGUGUCAAACUUUAAGUGCUCAUUGAAAUAUGAAACCCAGUUGGCAGGCUUUGGUUUCAGCAAACCUGGACACUACCAAGUGAAGGUCUACAUCAAAAUCUCGAUAUGCAAGCGACGACAUCCGGUCACAUCGCAUGGUAGACCUCAGAUAGGAUUUUACCCUUCGCAUGAUGCUGAACGAUCGUUCGGCCGAGGCUGAAUUGACAGGCAUACAAAGGAGUAUCUCCAGACAUCGAUAUACAUUUGACCCGGGACGUAAAAAGACUAUUUCGAAAAAAAAAUGAGGUGGACGCCCGGGCGUACGAGUGGACGCCUGGCUACGCGCCUGACGCAAAUAGAAAUGUUUUGAUGUGAGCAAACUUUGCAACUUGACGCUGUCAGGUGCUUUGGAUUAAACAGGCAUCAAUGUGUUUUACAGAAUAAAAAUCAUUGAU